GAAAAACUUGACCAACAGUUAUUUUUUUGUCAUUUUUGUUGAAUAGUGAAAUAGUCAAUGGUAAAUCACUUUGUUUUAUGGUAUGUAAUUUCAGUCUAAUAGAAUGUAAUCUAUCCUUUGACCAAAAAAAAAGAAAAGAAAAGAAUGUAAUCUAUCCCCUCACUUUGUUCUAUGGUAUGUCAUUUCAUUCUAAUAGAAUAUAAUCUAUCCUUUGACCAAAAAAAAAAAAAAAUGUAAUCUAUCCCCUCACUUUGUUCUAUGGUAUGUCAUUUCAUUCUAAUAGAAUGUAAUCUAUCCCCCUCUUUACCACUGAAAUAGUCUAAUGAUUAAAAUUGGGAAAGCUUUUUUAAGGUGUUAAGCCCUUCCCCUUUUGUUAGUUCACAGAUUUUUUUUCUAC
rnacentral:lncRNA from 1 species